AUCCGUAAUUUAUGUAUACUCGUAGAAAUAUACUGAGGGAAAAAAAUAAGGGAUCAUAUGAAAGCACAAGUGUUCCGUUAUUUGUUUCCAGUUUUCUUCACAAACUAUGCGAUACAAAGCUUGUGAAGAAACCUUCGAAAAAAAAUAAAGGAACACUUGUGCUUUCAUGUGAUCCCUUACUGUUUUCUCUC